AUUUCUUGACAUUUGUGUGUUGUUUAGCAAAGAAGAAGGAGACUCUAGGCAAGAGGAGGCAAAGGGGACUGCUAUUUGGUGGAUUUGAAGCUUGUCCCUUCAAUCUAAAGGAGGAUUAGAGCUCGGAGGAUCGAGCACGAGGGAUUUCCAGGGAUCGUGAGAUACCGAGACGCGCGAGGUACUAGCGAUGACCGUGGGAAGGCGCCGGCUUGAUCUGUACACACGCAGGGGACUUUGAUAUAUUUACAUUGAUCUUGGGAUUUUUGUGUAAUGAGAAUUGAGAUUUAAAAUCUGAUGUUUUAUGGAAAAUGAAUGAGAAAUGUUUCUAU